AGAGUUUGAUCAUGGCUCAGGUUGAACGCUGGCGGCAGGCCUAACACAUGCAAGUCGAACGGUAACAGAAAGAAGCUUGCUUCUUUGCUGACGAGUGGCGGACGGGUGAGUAAUGUCUGGGAAACUGCCUGAUGGAGGGGGAUAACUACUGGAAACGGUAGCUAAUACCGCAUAACGUCGCAAGACCAAAGAGGGGGACCUUCGGGCCUCUUGCCAUCGGAUGUGCCCAGAUGGGAUUAGCUUGUUGGUGGGGUAACGGCUCACCAAGGCGACGAUCCCUAGCUGGUCUGAGAGGAUGACCAGCCACACUGGAACUGAGACACGGUCCAGACUCCUACGGGAGGCAGCAGUGGGGAAUAUUGCACAAUGGGCGCAAGCCUGAUGCAGCCAUGCCGCGUGUAUGAAGAAGGCCUUCGGGUUGUAAAGUACUUUCAGCAGGGAAGAAAAUGACGGUACCUGACUAAGAAGCCCCGG
rnacentral:rRNA from 1 species